GAAACAGAGGGAAGUGAGUAGAUUCAUACUAAGGAAUGACUGACACCCUCUCCCGUGUGGCACUGGGGAGCACAGCGGCCUCUUCUGUAGGGAUCCAAAGCCCAGAAAUUAGAAACUGCACAGUACUGGGAUAAUGGAGGCUCAGGUUGUAUGCUGUGUUAGCCAACCAGCAGGCCAAACUGGCCACGUCCAAAACAGGUCACAAGGGAUCAGGACAGCCAGAGUCCUGGGCUGUGAGACCCCACAGAGACCACGGAGACAUGUUCUCGAAGGAAGACACGUACAUGCCACCCCCAGAGGAGAUAGAGAUGAGCCACUCUAAGGGACGCAUGAAAUCUCAUACUGGAGUGCCAUACUCACUCGGGACCCGAGCAUCUUACACACUGGAGUGCUGCACUCAAAGGGGACCUGAGCAUCUUACACACUGGAGCACUACACUCACAGGGGACCCAAGCAUCUUGCACAAUGGAGUGCUGUACUCACUCGGGACCUGAGCAUCUUACACAGUGGAGUGCCACACUCACUGGGGACCCAAGCAUCUUACGCACUGUAGACUUCAUGUUUCCUGACUGGGACAUAGCAUUAAUGCUUUCUUUGUAAAGUUAUGAUAACAAACGAAGUGAAAUGUACUUAAAUCAUCAUAUCGUAAGCACUCAAUAAACAUAGCUAUUAUUUAUUUCAGAAAUAUCAGGGUGCUUACCAUUGGGUACCUUUCUAGGCCCUGAAAACCUUUAUGGACUCAUGUUCUAGUAGCAGAGAUAAGCAAAUGGCAUCAUAUAGGACAGCUGACAUGACGUGCACCGUGACAAAAAGUGAAAUGCGAGACUUGGGAAAUCCAAAGCUGGGUUUAUUAUCUGAAAUAGCAAACGGGAAGGCCUGUGUGAUAAUGUUACAACCUGCUAGACCUAAAGGAGGCAAGAAGAAGAGCCGCGUGGAUAUUUGGAGGGAGGCUGAUCAGGACUGAGCAUGCAGAAAACACAGAACUCCCAAACAGCAAGCUUGGCCAGCAAGGAGUUAUGGCCAGUGCAGAGACAACCAGCUGCCAGCAACAGGAGGAUGGACCAGGGUGUCUGCAGCCUGGUGUCACAACGCGAAGGUUUAUAAGGACAGUCCCUAUCUUCUCUAGGGUUAGAAUGGAUGUUAGGUGCUUGUGAGAGGAGACCCUGGUCAGAUAUGCAUGUUCAGGUCUCUCUGGUCUGUCUCUAUGCUGAGGAAAGAUGAAGUGGCCAAGGGAAAGGCGGCGAGGUCCCUGGAGGGGCCACUCCAACAAUCGUGGGGGAGAUGGCAGAAACUUGGGAGUAAAUGAGAGCAGGAAGAGUGGGGGAAAGAUAAGAAUAAGGGAUCACCGUGUGCUGUGUUUUAGAAAGGAGGAGAAGGAAGUAACUCCACCUCCCAGCGCUACCCCUAACAACCCCUGGCAAUCCCUAAGAACCCCUAACAACCAUGCAUGCUGCUGAAAGAAUCAGGGCAGGGCCAGGCAGACCAGCAACAUGGGGUAUGGUAGAGCAAGUCCUGCAGAAUAUGCCACUCGCCUGUCUGCAAACAGUUCGGUGGUAGACAUGCCACACGUAUUGACCCCUUCAGGCAGGGCUCACCACCUUGCUCUCAGCAGUGGCAAAGGGACAGAAGGUGAGUGUUCCCCAGGUGAAGAGCAACAGAAUCCAAGUCAGCUCGGGAGGCAGCCUUGUUCACCAGGCAUUCCACAGGGUGGAGUGUGGAGAUUGCUCCCUGGAUCCCGGGUUUAUACACAAUGAGGCAAGAGAAACAACAGGGCCUCUCUCUGCCAGACAGCUGGGAGGCAGCCUCAGCGUCAGCAAUGAAAUCUCUUCUCACAAUACCAACUUAACUCAGGUGUGUACGAGCCAGUCCUUUCAUUAAAAAGUUAUUUAUCAAAUCAAAUAUGGAGAAUCACCAACAUCCAUGUGCCAGCCACCCACUUGGGCAUCUUAUCUCCAGACUGCUAGUUUUGGAACUAAGACAUUGAUAGCUAAAACCUUGCUAACUUUUAUUUUCAAAUAGAAAGUGCAAAAUCCAAGGAGUUCCAAGUUAGGGCUCUCUGGCUUUUCUGUCUAAAGUACGGAAGAAUUUCUAUCCUGGGGGGCUAGUUUGCCCCACCAGCUCUCAGACAGUCACUGAGGUAGUGACUUCAGUCUCACUAGGCUUGUUUUAGGGUGGCACUCCCUUCGCCCAACACCCACAGUGCCAAGACUUCUGGGAGUGGCUAUGGGAUGCCAACACUCUGCUCCUUAAGACAGACUCCAUGCCGUUCUGCCACCAGGACGGCAGCCAAUGGAAACUCAGCAGACAACUAACUGGCUGGCCUCACAUCUUCCUAGGGGUGGGGCUGCUGGGUACUGAGCUGCUCAGGUGAAUGCUCAUGAUUGCUGGCAGGUCUCUGAAGCCAGUCACACCUGCACAGCCUUCUUUGGGCACGCCCCAGCCUCACGGCCCAGAGGGAAUUGCCCAACUUAUCUGGCUGCACUCAACAGGGACACUGGUGGCUCCUACCUCCCAGAGUGAGGGAAGGACCAGCUGGUGGUACCUACCCAGUGCGCAUUCUGGGUGAGGAACAAGGACAAGAGACACUGCUGGCAGCUGCGUGAAGAUACCCACCACCGGCCUCAGUGUCCCCUAGAGGCCAGACACCUGCCACCAUGCAGAAAAGCUGCAGUGGAGGAGGAAAAGACAAGAAGUUGGUUCUCCAUGGCCUCAGAGAUCUGGAAGAACAUCAGUGGGCAGAGAGUAUCCGGUUUCAUUGUCACCUGAGGCUUACAGUUGGUCACUGGCCAAAAAGGACAGUUUUGGCUUCUACUGUCUUUGCUAUACAUGAAGAAUAAACAAGUACAGAAUAUCCCAGUCCACACAUCCUACCCUAUUGGGAGCUAAGAGCUUGCCCUGCCCUUCCUCAGAGGAAGCUGAAUUUCAAGGCAAGCACCACAGCCCACGCCAGGACAGCCCAGCUCUCUUUCCUCCCUUCUAGGACACCAGCAGGGAGCAGAUCAGGCGAAGGUAAUUACAACUCUGCUUCAUGCCCUUAAUGUUCCACAGCCCAAUUUGAUUAUGAUAAUGGUAAAGAAGGAGAAGCCACUGGCCCUUCCUCUGGCCUCCCGGGGGCUGCUGCGGGCCGCUGGGCGAGGGCUAAGUCAUCCAUUACCUCUCCCCGCCUGGAAUGCGGGAUGAGCUCAGCUGUCAAGGGGAAUAAAUCACUUUCGAGAGGCUGGAGGUGCUCUGAGAGCAGGAUGGAAGGCAAAUCUGCAGAUGAAGAGCCUGGUCAUGCUCAUCACACUUGCCUGUGUUUAGCUCUAGUUUUCUGAGGAGCCAGACAAGAGCCACGGGCUUCUUUCGGGAUCCUCUGCUCUGAUACAGCACCAAUCAAGAUACCUUAGUCUGCAGCAGCUAAUUGUCAGAACAUUCUACCACAAAUUCACUGCUCAAGCUGCUGGCUGGAGGGGUACAUGACUGCCAGGCUCAAAAACAAAAACAAAGCUGGGUGGUGGUGGCGCAUGCCUUUAAUCCCAGCACUUGGGAGGCAGAGGCAGGGGGAUCUCUGACUUCGGGGCCAGACUGGUCUAUAGGAGCUAGUUCCAGGACAGGCUCCAAAGCUACAGGGAAACCCUGUCUCAACACACACACACACACACAAUCAAACAUAUUUGGUCUGCCUACCCACAAACCCUUGCCUCUACCUGGUCUGCUGUCCAUCACAACCAUUCAAAUUAGCUGUAGACACCAAAUGCCAUUUUUUCUGUUCCUCUGUACCAGGUGCCAUCUCUGACUCUGAAAUGACCCAUCCUGGUCACCAAAAGAACCAGAUGGCCCCGCCCCCAGAUGGGCUUUUCUUAAGGCACUAACGAACCAGUUAGCCACGGAUAUAAAUGCAGGCUGUCUGCCGCUUUUCUGCCAUCUAGAAAAGGCUGCUGCAAGGAGAGGAAAAUGUCAGCCAUCACAGAGCCACAAAGGUGGGACGCAGAGCCUCGGGUGUGGCUGCUCACCUGCAGGACUUGUCACCAGGAAGCAUGGCAGCCCUGUGCCUUCAGCUGGCAUUUAUCUUAUGCUAGCCUUUCAAUCAGGACCCCACUUAAGCUGUUUUACGUAUUUCUAUCCUUUGCAGCCCCAAAUCAUAAUUUAUCAAGCACCAGUGAUAUUAUAGAAUUCUAUCCCAAAGUAUUACCCUGUGUCCCGGUGGGGAUUCUAGCAUGGGAAACUAGGAGAUUGUGUACUGUGCAUUUUGUAAUGUUAGGAUGUCAACUGUUGUCUUUUAAAAUGGGUGAACGGUUCCGACUGGUUCCUAAAGUUAGGGCUUAAGAAGAAGGAGAAAAGUACAGGAAGCACUUCCUGUUGCUACUCUAGUCACAUGACUGGAAGAAGGAAGGAGACUAGGACUGGAUCAGUGUGUCUCAGCUGGCUGCUGGUGCUCACUAACACUAGCAAGCAUCAAUCUCCCGCACUUAGAACACUCUCCCUAUUCCUGGGCAGAAGAGCCUCUCUUUUUCUGAAAGAUGGCACUGUAACAACCAGUCCUGUGUUCCUUGAAACUUGCUGCUGAGGGUCGCAGAGACCUGUCCUAACUGGAUUCCAGGCCCUUACCUUUCCAUCAGACAGUGUGCCACUGGUCUAAUCCAUUCUUCCCCAUGAAACUUUAUCUUAACUGGGACCCUUCUGGUCCUCUACUGCCUUCCACUGCAAUUUGGGCAUCCUGCCCCAGAUAGCACGCUGGCCAGCCAGCAUCCUAGGUACCCAAAGCAGGAAGCAGCUUCACAGCAAGGCUGAAUCACCCUUCACCGAUUGCACACGACUGUGCGCAUUUUACACCGAAACGAAAGAGCCUCCAUUCCAAUUUCUAGGAGGACGCACUUGCUACUGCUUUUCUGUGCUUUCGUGGAUUUGUACCCGUGAGUAUACAUCCACAGAAUGAGCAGAAAACACAGUGCUUGGCACAAAGGCUAGGCUGCUUGCUAAUGCCUAGCUCUACUCACUGGCAAUCGAGUCUGUUUGCCUCUCUGCGUGCUAUGCGUUGCUAUAGAUGCAAUCAGCAUUGCCCGGCUACUCCAUCCAUUAAGACAACCGGGCUUUCCAAUGGAUCUGUAGCUGUAAUUUUCAAACGUGAGAUGUUUUCUUUUUUUUUUUUUUUUCUUUCAUGCUGGGGUCCCGCCAAGGGCAUCAGCUGAGAGGUGAUAUCAGACAGAUCCUUUUUGCUGGGUAACCAGCCCUCUGCUGCUCCCUCCUAAAGCCAUUAACCCUUUGUCCUAGGGAGUGUCAGACACCUCGGGGGACCUGACCUGAGCAUUCCUUUCCUGAGCCCUUGGGUAGCACUGAUGGACACGCUGACUGCACAUCUUGUCAGGUGGUCACAGUGAGAGAGAAGGGGGUGUCCCGGGCCACACAAAGCCCUGGCUCAGAAAGCUCCAUUUUCCUAGGACAGUGCUUGAGGCAGAAUUCCAACACCUAUAAAUAAAACUACUGAGACUAUUGUAAGCUGAUGGCUAGGAGCUUUGUUCCAAACCUACAUUUAUCAUAAGAUAAUCCAACUGUUUCUGUUUUAUGGUUACGGAGAGCCACACGAAUGUUCUUUGUGUUCUUCUGUACAGGUUCUGAACUGCUGUCGCAAGGGCAGUAGGGGAAGUGACAUUUUAGCGGAAUCAGAGUUAAAAACCUGUGUUCGAUGGAAGAUUCAUUUGAAACUAAAGUUUGUUAAAGAACCCCUCUGUCCUCCUCACAUGCAACUGUGGGGAUGAGCAUGUCUGCACGUGUGUGGGCAUCUUCCUUGACCUGUCCCUAUCUCCCGAGCACUAGGAUCCUAGGCAGGCAUCACGCAUGCUCAGCAUCUGUAUGGCUUCUGGGACCUGAACUCUGGCGUGAACCUGGGUCCUCAUGCUCACACAGGGUUUUAGCCACUGAGCCUGUUCAUGGCCCUACAUGGCCAGUCUUUAGUGAGCUCAUUCUUCAAAGCUGAGUCUAUGUCUGAAUUUCUCUGAACCUAUAGAAUUACAGGACCAACAAUUCAAUUUCUCAAGAAAAUGGUCUAACAAUCAAGCUUACCUAUACUUUAAACAUCUCCUGUAACAAGUAUUCAAGAUCAGUUCUCCCCCAACUGAAUUGUCCUCACUUUCGACCUACUCCAGAGCUAUAUGCAGGACAGAUGUAUGCAGACAAUUAAACAAGACAUUUCCUGUUAACCCAACUCUUAACAUUCAUUAAUUCAACAGAAGACUCUCACUGACAAGCUGAACACUGAAUAUCUACUCAAACAUGGAACUUAUAGAUUAUAAGUACCUGUGAAUAUCAUGGAAAGGGGCACAGACUUCUUAUUUAAACAGAAGAAUAUGGUUUGAAAGAAAAAAUUAUAAUCUAUGUGCUGCCAAAUAAGACAAUUGCUACUUAAGCUCAGAAGAAAUAAGCCCCUUGUGUUUGUAGGCAGCUGACCAAGUUUGGGAUUGAGACUGUAUUUUCUCCGGGGACAUGGGGUUCAGUCUAUGGAUACAGAUAAAUUGAAGCAAAUGGUUGGUUCCCUCCAGGGGGAGAGAGAAAUAUCAAGUUGCUUUCAGACAUCAAGAGAACAUGGGCCCUUUUGCUGUGGCAUUGGACAUCCCACUGAUCUGUAUGAAGCGCUCGCCCCUUGCAUAUUACAGCUCAGAGCAUCUUCCUGACAGCCUGGGGGCCAUACAUGGAGACACCUGGCCUGCCCUUAUAGCCUGCCUUGGAAGAUUUGGGGAACACUGGCUCAUUUGAGUUUAUUGUCUUGUCAUUAUGUCUCCCAGAAGGCCACUCCCACAAAGCAUAGGUGAGCUUGUGCCCAGGGCACACUAAGGGUACGGCAAGCUUCCUUCCUCUCCAGCAUUGUACUGUGUGCUCCCCUCACACCAGGGCAGGUCCUGCACUGUCACUGGCUGAGCUUUAGUGACAUUGUGAAGAAGCCUACAUGCCCAUUCUCCAUACAGCAUGUGCCGGUCCUUUUAACAGCACUGUGAUCCCCACUCCCUCCGCUCCUACCGUCGGCCCAGGAGAAUCCAUUUCCUAAGAGAGCUUGUUUGUUUUAACUUGUCUGUGAUCCUGUUUCCACUCCAGUUCUUGCUCCAUUCAACGUAAACAAUUUACCCACUCAGUCAUGAGGGAAAAUGGAAAACACACUUGACAAGCAGAUUUCGUGUUCCUGGGAGACAAUGCCAGCAGCAGCCAUGCAGACAAGAUGGGGAAGUAGCACAGAGGGAACUCCGAGGAC